UACGUAGGGUGCAAGCGUUAAUCGGAAUUACUGGGCGUAAAGCGUGCGCAGGCGGCCAUGCAAGACAGAUGUGAAAUCCCUGGGCUUAACCUAGGAACUGCAUUUGUGACUGCAUGGCUAGAGUACGGUAGAGGGGGAUGGAACUCCGCGUGUAGCAGUGAAAUGCGUAGAUAUGCGGAGGAACACCGAUGGCGAAGGCAAUCCCCUGGACCUGUACUGACGCUCAUGCACGAAAGCGUGGGGAGCAAACAGG
rnacentral:rRNA from 1 species